rnacentral:rRNA from 1 species
AUACACUGUCUAUAUAUAUUUCAUGAAAUUAAAAUUUUAAUUAAAAUGUUAAAAUUUUUUUAUGGGACGAUAAGACCCUAUAGAAUUUUAUAUGGUUACAUCUUAAUAGUUAAUAUAAAAAAUGUAGCAAUAUUUGGUUGGGAGGACUAUUAAAUUUUAUAAACUUUAAUUUCUGAUAACUUUAAUUAAAGAAAAACUUUUUAAUGACCCUCAAUUUGGGAUAGCUAGAAUAAAUUACCUUAGGGAUAACAGCGUAAUAUUUUUUUAUAGAUCGUAUAGAAAAAAGUGAUUGCGACCUCGAUGUUGAAUUAAGAUAAAUUUUGAACGCAGGAGUUUAAUAAUUAAGUCUGUUCGACUUUUAAAAUCUU